rnacentral:rRNA from 1 species
GACGAAUGCUGGCGGCGUGCUUAACACAUGCAAGUCGAACGGAAAGGCCCUGCUUGCAGGGUGCUCGAGUGGCGAACGGGUGAGUAACACGUGGGUGAUCUGCCCCUUACUUUGGGAUAAGCCUGGGAAACUGGGUCUAAUACUGGAUAGGACCAUGCUGUAGGUGGUGUGGUGGAAAGAUUAGUUUCGGUAAGGGAUGAGCUCGCGGCCUAUCAGCUUGUUGGUGGGGUAAUGGCCUACCAAGGCGUCGACGGGUAGCCGGCCUGAGAGGGUGGACGGCCACAUUGGGACUGAGAUACGGCCCAGACGCCUACGGGAGGCAGCAGUGGGGAAUAUUGCACAAUGGGCGCAAGCCUGAUGCAGCGACGCCGCGUGGGGGAUGACGGCCUUCGGGUUGUAAACUCCUUGCAGCCAUGACGAAGCCCUUGUGGUGACGGUAGUGGUAGAAGAAGCACCGGCUAACUACGUG